rnacentral:tRNA from 1 species
AUUUAUGUAGUUUAACGAAAAACAUUACAUUUUCACUGUAAAAAUAAAGGAAAUUUUCUUAAAUA